rfam:Capsicum annuum cultivar Zunla-1 chromosome 2, whole genome shotgun sequence
UGACCCCAAGUCAUGCACGAUUACCCACUGAGUUUAAGCAUAUCUAUAAGUGGGGGAAAAGAAAGUUACAAGGAUUCCCUUUGUAACGGCAAGAGAACUGAGAAUAGCCCAGACUUUGAAUUGUACCACUCUGUUGUAUGAAUUAUGUCUGGAGAAGCAUCCUCAGUGGCAGACCGGGCCCAUGUCCCCAAGAAAGGGGUUCUAUAGAGGGUGAGAGACUCGUUGUGCUUGGACCCUAUCGCACCUCGAGGCGCUGUCUACAAGUCAGGUUGUUUAGGAAUGUAACCUAAAUCAGGCGGUGAAUUUCAUCCAAGGCUAAAUACGGGCUAGAGACCGAUAGUGAACAAGUACCAUGAGGGAAAGAUGAAAAGGACUUUGAAAAGAGAUUCAAAUUGUGCUUGAAAUUGUUAAGAGGGAAGUGGAUGGGGGCUGGCGAUACGCACCGGUCGGAUAUGGAAGGAUGGUGAACCGGUCUGUCGAUCAACUCAGGGCAUGGACCAGUGUGGAUUUGGGGUGCAGCCAAAGCUUGAGCUCUCGAUACGCUCGCGGAAUAUCGUGUUCUCAAUUGUGGCAAGCAGCGUGUGCCUCUUUUGUGCUUCGACAUCUGCGCACUCCAGAUGCUUUUUUAUGGGCUCCCCAUUCUACUGAUCUUGAAAAAUGGACCAUGGAAUCUGACAUGCGUGGGAGUCAACAAGUGAGUAAACCCGUAAGUCAUAAGAAAGAUUAUUGGUAGGAUCCCCCUAAAGGGUGCACCGCCGACCAACCUUGAUCUUUUGAGAAGGGUUCAAGUGAAAGAAUACCUAUCAGGACUCGACAGAUGGUGAACUAUGCUUGAGUGGGGCGAAGCCAGAGGAAACUCUAGUGGAGGCCCAUAGCGAUACUGAUACGUAAAUCAUUCGUCUGACUUAGGUAUAGGGGGAAUGACUAAUUGAACCGUCUAGUAGCUGGUUCCCUUCAAAGUUUCCCCUAGGAUAACUGGAACUCGCAUAUAAGUUCUAUUGGGAAAAGAUAAUAAUUAUAGGACUCGAGGGUGCAACGCCCUCGACCUAUUCUCAAACUUUAAAUAGGUAGGACGGCGCAACAACUUUGUUGAGCCGCGCCACAGAAUGAAGAGCUCCAAGUAGGCCACUUUUGGUAAGAAGAAUAGGCAAUGUGGGAUGAACCAGAAUCCGAGUUACAGUUCCAAACUGCACGCUAAACUAGAUCCCACUAUGGGUGUUGGUCGAUCAAGACAGUAGGACGGUGGUCGUAGAAGUCAAAAUCUACUAAGGGGUGUGUAACAACUCUCUUGACGAAUCAUUUAUCCCUAAAAAUAGAUGGAAUUUAAUCAUGAGACCUACACCUGGCUGUUGGGGAAAGUGCCAGGCCUCGAUGAAUAAGAGAUCAUGGCGGUCACUACAAAACCUUGGGUUCGAUCUUGGGUGGAGUGGCCUUGGGGAAAAUCUUUGUAGUAGUAGCAAAUAUUCAAACGACAACUUUGAUGGCUGAAUAGAGGAAAGGUUCCAUGUGAAAGACACUUGCACAUAGGUUAGUCGAUUCAAAAGGUCCGGGGAACCCCAACAGAUAGCGCAUUUUCGGGCGUACUCUGAAAGAAAAUCAAGUUAUAGUUCCUGAAUCGAGAUGUAGUAGUCGACGACAAUGUUAGGAAGUCUGGAUAAGUUAGUGGGAGCCUCGGAAAGAGUUCUCUUUUGUAUUUAACGGCCUGCCCACCCUAGAAUCGGCUCAGUCAGAGGUAGGGUCCAGCGGCUGGAAUAGCACUGCACAUCGCGUGGUGUCUGGUACGCUUCAAGCAGCCCUUAAAAAUAUGGAGAAGCGAAUGCCUUCCACGCCCGGUCAUACUCAUAACCACAUCCAGUUUCAAAAGAGAAUAACCUCUGGUUGAUAAAAAAAUGUAGGCAAGGGAAGUCAGGAAAAUGGAUCCGUAACUUCAGGAAAAAUGAUUGGCUCUGAGGGAUGGGCAUGGGGGUCCCAGUCAUGAACCCAUUGCAGCCGGUGGACUACUCGAGCUGCUUCCAUGGAUAGAGCGGGUCAUCACGUACCAACCAGGGGACGGACUGGGAACGAUUCCUUCAGGGGCCUUCCCUGCGCGUCGAACAACCAACUCCAAAUUGGUACGGACAAAGGGAAUCCGAUUAUCUAAUUAAAAAAAAAAUUGCAAUGGUCCCAACGGAUGUUCACAUAAUGUGAUUUCUGCCCAGUGCUGUGAAUGUCAAAGUGAAAAAAUUCAACCAAGCACGGGUAAAUGAUGGGAGUAACUAUAACUCUCUUAAGGUAUCCAAAUGCCUCAUCAUCUAAUUUAUGAUGCUUAUCAAAGGAUUAACAAGAUUCCUAUUGUCUUUGUCUACUAUCCAGUGAAACCACAACUAAGUGAACGGGCUUGGCAGAAUCAGCGGGGAAAGAAGAUCCUGUUGAGCUUAACUCUAGUCCGACUUUGUGAAACGACUUGAGAGGUGUAAUAUAAGUGGGAGACAAAAGAUGAAAGUUAAAUACCACUACUUUUAACGUUAUUUUUCUUAUUCUGUGAAUCAUAAGCAGGGCACUGCCCCUCUUUUUGGACCCAUGGCUCGCUCUACGAGCCGAUCUAGGUAGAAAACAUUGUCAGGUGCGAAGUUUGACUGGGGCAUCACAUCUAUUAAAAGAUGAUAUAGGUGUCCUAAGAUGAUCUCAAUGAGAAUAGAAAUCUCAUGUGGAACAGAAGGGUAAAAGCUUGUUUGAUUCUGAUUUCCAGUACGAAUAUGAACUGUGAAAGCUUGCCCUAAUGAUCCUUUAGAACUUUGGAUUUCAAAGCUAGAGGUUUCAAAAAAUUUACAAUAGGGAUAACUGGCUUUUUGUAGCCAAGCGUUUAUAGCGACGUUUCUUUUUUAUCCUUCGAUGUCGGCUCUACCUAUCAUUGUGAAGUAGAAUUCACUAAGUGUUGGAUUGUUUACCCACCAAUAGAGGACGUGAGCUGGGUUUAGACAGUCUUGAUACAGGUUAGUUUUACCCAACUGAUGAUAGUGUCGAAAUAUUAAUUCAACCUAGUACGAGGAAACCAUUGAUUCACACAAUUGGUCAUCGCGCUUGGUUAAAAAUCCAAUGACGUGAAGAUACCGUGUGCUGGAUUAUGACUGAACACCUCUAAGUUAGAAUCAGGUCUACAAGUGAUGCAUGCGCCCGCCGUCUACUUGCCGACCCAUAGUAGGGGCUCGGCCUCCAAGGGCACGUGUCGUUAGCUAAGCCAUCGCAGCAGAAGGGUCGCAGUGGCCGCCUUGAAGUUCAAUUUCCAUCGAGUGACGGGUAGAAUCCUUUGCAGAUGACUUAAAUAAGCAACGAGGUAUUGUAAGUGGUGGAGUGGCCUUGCUGCCACAAUCUACUGAUAUUCUGCCCUUUGACGCUCUGGUUCAU